CGAACGCUGGCGGCGUGCUUAACACAUGCAAGUCGAGCGGUAAGGCCCUUUCGGGGGUACACGAGCGGCGAACGGGUGAGUAACACGUGGGUGACCUGCCCUCAGCUCUGGGAUAAGCCUGGGAAACUGGGUCUAAUACUGGAUAUGACUCCACGGUGCAUGUCGUGGGGUGGAAAGCCUUGUGCGGCUGAGGAUGGGCCCGCGGCCUAUCAGCUUGUUGGUGGGGUGAUGGCCUACCAAGGCGACGACGGGUAGCCGGCCUGAGAGGGCGACCGGCCACACUGGGACUGAGACACGGCCCAGACUCCUACGGGAGGCAGCAGUGGGGAAUCUUGCGCAAUGGGCGAAAGCCUGACGCAGCGACGCCGCGUGAGGGAUGACGGCCU
rnacentral:rRNA from 1 species